CGUAAAGAUCAAUGCAAAAACAUUAUGCACAGCUCUUGUAUUUCUUUGAUUUAUCCAAGUAGUCAAAGUAUAAUAUUUAACAAACUUUUGAUUCAAAUAAAACAACGAAAGACACAAAAUUUGUGAAGUUUUCAAAGAUGUUACGAGAAAGAAGAAUAUUCGUCAUGUGCAAUGCUUAUUCGAAACUGAUAAUGCUAUAGCUACUGUAGCAAGGAUAUUGAAUUGUCCUGUAUCGAGUUAUGAUUCAGAUUUUUAUGUGUUUAGGACAUUGUACAUACCAUUUGAUACAUUGGACAAUUACCAUUAGCUGCAAUAUUACUAGGCAAUGAUUAUGUAAAACGUGGUACAUUUAGAAACAUCUUUCAUUAUUUAAAGUUACGACGAAUAACAAGAAAAAGGUAAAGUAAUCGACAGUAUUGUAUAGAAGCAACUUUACAAUGGUUGAGCGGAUUUUACAUCUUGGACAAAGCAGUCAUUGGAAUACUAUGUAGAUCACCUAGAACCGAAUAUGCAGCUCGUGCCACAACACAUUCCAUAAACAGAAUUUUUAAAUUUGAUGCAGAUGUUAAUAGUCUAAUGUACAUGGAAGAAACUGAUAAAAAUGGAGACUGAAUCAUCCGAAGAGGAAGAAGAAGAGGAAGAAAACGAAGUUGAAAUAUUAGACAUGCUUAAAGGGGUCAGAAUCUGCUACCACUAAUGCACUAGCUAAUGUACCUAAUUUGUUUGUAGAUGAAUUUCUUAUGGGCAAUUAUCCUGCAUAUUUUAUGGACUUGUUGGCUCGACGUUUAUAUAUUUGUCCUGUACAAAUAGAGAAUUAUUCCUAUCCAUUGAGCAAUGUAAUAAGUUUAAAAAUUAUUAGAGUUAUAUAUGCAUUUCUGCAAUCAGGAAUGAAUAGAAGGAGAGGUUUUAUGAAAUACAUGAUGAGAGACUGUAAUAAAAAGCUUAAAUGUUACGAAC